GACGAACGCUGGCGGCGUGCUUAACACAUGCAAGUCGAACGGACAGUCCCUGCUUUUGUGGGGUGCUCGAUUGGCGAACGGUUGAGUAACACGUGAGUACCCUUACCUUGCCUUUGUGAUAACUUCAGGUAACUGGGGCUAAUACCGGAUAGGAGCUCAUGCUGUUUGGUGGUGGAUGGAAAGUUUCGGCGGUUGGGGAUGGCCGCGCGGCUUAUCAGCUUGUCGGUGGGGUAGUUGCUUACCAAGGCGUUGACGGGUCGCCGGCCUGAGAGGGUGACCGGCCACAUAGGGACAGAGAAGCGGGCCGGACUGAUACGUGAGGAAGCAGUGGGGGAUAUUGCGCAAUGGGCGGAGGCCGGAUGCAGCAACGCCGCGUGCGGGAGGACGGCCGUCGGGUUGUAAACCGCGUGCGCCUGUGACGAAGCGUGAGUGACGGUAAUGGGUAAAGAAGCACCGGCUAACUACGUG
rnacentral:rRNA from 1 species